CCACCAUAAGAGGGACAUUUUGGAACAACUUGAUAUCGAACGGUUGCGGGACGGUCUUCUAGCAACCGAGCGUGUACGAGCAAUUCAAGAAGAGCUGGCGGGAUUCUUAGUUGAGCAAGUCUUAGCUCCAGACGGAGAACAUUAUGUGGCCGACAUCCAGUAUCAAAGUUGAUGUAGACAUAUAUAUAUGCAUGAACGUGUGUCACUUUGAUCGAUAUAUGUAAUAUAAUGGUUUCCUAUAUAUAUAUA